UAGUUGUCUCCUCUCAUCUCCCUGACCUACGGGACACCAUCUCGGGAAAUCCACACGGUGCCCGCUGUGUAGCUUUGGUGGGACCGUGUCACUUGCUGGACACUCGUGGUGGAUUAUAAAGCGGGUCGAGAACAGCAUGGAGGAGGGCCAUGUUUGUGAGGGAGAGGAGAUCCCACCAAAUAUCUAGGUGACGUUCAUGCUCUUGUGUGCACAGAAGACAGGCAUCUAAAGGGAACCAAGCCAGCUCAAGCCCUCUGGCAACCUCUGGGCAGUAGUGCGGAGAGGGUUCCCACUUUCUGUGUUACGCAUACCUGCUGUUUGCACUGUUUGACUUACUGGAUAAGCGAUACAUUUACAUGUUUGAAAAGUUAAAGAGAGGGCCGGGGUACAGCUCAGUGCUAGAGCACUGGCCUAGCGUGAGUUUGGUCCUGGUUCAUUCUCUACCCCGGAAGAAAAACUGUGUGUGACGGCUGUGUGUGUGUGUACACGCUGUACAUGUGCUGUGUGUAUGUGUGCUGUGUUAAGUACGUGGUCUGUGUAUGCUGUCUAUGUGCAUGAAUGUUGUGUGUGUGUGAGAGUGUGUAUGUGUGUGUGCAUGCAUGUGUGUAUGUGCUCUGUGUGUGUGCAUGUGAGUGUAUGUGCUCUGUGUGUGUGCAUGCAUGCAUGCAUGCAGAUGCCAGAACUUGAAGAUACUGGUGCCCUGCUUCAUUUCCCUCUACCUAUUCCCUUGAGAGCAGAUCUCUCAUUGACUUUAGAGAUAAGGAAGUGGACAGCAAGCCCCGCUGAUCGCCCUGCUUCCAUCCCCUUAGUGCACACCAGCCGGCCCAGACUUGCCUAUAGCCGGGAUCUGAGCUUAGGUGCUCACGCAUGGGGGACAUGCACUUUUACCCACUGAG
rnacentral:lncRNA from 1 species